CGGGACGGGUGAGUAACGCGUGGGUAACCUGCCUUGUACAGGGGGAUAACAGUUGGAAACGGCUGCUAAUACCGCAUAAGCGCACGGCAUCGCAUGAUGCAGUGUGAAAAACUCCGGUGGUAUAAGAUGGACCCGCGUCUGAUUAGCCAGUUGGCAGGGUAACGGCCUACCAAAGCGACGAUCAGUAGCCGACCUGAGAGGGUGACCGGCCACAUUGGGACUGAGACACGGCCCAA
rnacentral:rRNA from 1 species